AGUGAACGCUGGCGGUAGGCCUAACACAUGCAAGUCGAACGGCAGCACAGUAAGAGCUUGCUCUUACGGGUGGCGAGUGGCGGACGGGUGAGGAAUACAUCGGAAUCUACUUUUUCGUGGGGGAUAACGUAGGGAAACUUACGCUAAUACCGCAUACGACCUACGGGUGAAAGCAGGGGAUCUUCGGACCUUGCGCGAUUGAAUGAGCCGAUGUCGGAUUAGCUAGUUGGCGGGGUAAAGGCCCACCAAGGCGACGAUCCGUAGCUGGUCUGGGAGGAUGAUCAGCCACACUGGAACUGAGACACGGUCCAGACUCCUACGGGAGGCAGCAGUGGGGAAUAUUGGACAAUGGGCGCAAGCCUGAUCCAGCCAUACCGCGUGGGUGAAGAAGGCCUUCGGGUUGUAAAGCCCUUUUGUUGGGAAAGAAAAGCAGCAGGUUAAUACCCCGCUGUUCUGACAGUACCCAAAGAAUAAGCACCGGCUAACUUCGUG
rnacentral:rRNA from 1 species